rnacentral:lncRNA from 1 species
UCGGUUGCAUGUUAUGAAAUCGUUGAAUAAUCAAUUCAUCGUCAAUCUUGUCCGCCACAUCUCUCUCAAUAUAAGUCACAAGACAAUCAUUCAUCCAUUCAUCUCCCAUUUAAAAAAAUUCUCCAUAACUCCUACAACAACCAACACAAUAACAAACUUUAAGAUUCAAUGAGUAUGAAAUAAAAAACAACAUUCUUUCUCAACAAGUUGCAAGUUGGAACCAUUUUUGGGUAAAAAUAUUGUCAUAAAUAAAUAUACUAACUAUUAACUAUGGAAGUAUGACCAAAAGUUAAAAACAAUGUCAUAGAAAGUGUAAAAUUAGAAGCUAGUUGAAUGAAAGAGUAAAACAUUUUCACCUAGUGCUACUACUUCUUUCUUACUAUACAUCCCCAUUAGAGUAAAACAAUGUGUUACUACUCUUUUCUUACCAUAAAUUACAAUAGCUCAACAAGAAAGCAAAUGAGUUGGAUAUCGAAUCACAGUCCUUUCACGUUUCUUGGCAUAUACUACAAGGUAAUAUACUAUAAGACAAUUGUUAAGUGAUUAGGAUUCAGGACAUGUCUAUUGUUUUAGUUCCAGAUUCAACAGUCUGAGAUUACAAACACAUAUUAUGUACUUGUAAGAGAUUAGAAACAUAUAUUGUGUAUUGUAGUAAGGUUUCAAUUGAAAGAAAUUUUUAAUUGAUUACCUUGGUGGUAGAUUCAGUGUCUUUAAAGGUUUCUGAAUGCCCCUUUGUGGUUGCACGACGGCGGAGAACGGCGAAAUAGGGUGGAGACCGUGGUGAUUUGCUGCAACAGAUUUUUUAGAUGGAGAGAGAGAGCUCAAAAUGUGAUUGUAUUCUAUAGAUGUAGGUCACGAAAGUGAAGAUGGAAUGGGAUGAGCGGUGGUGCGGCGGAGUUCGGUUUUGGUUCGGCCGCCGGAGUGGAUGAGAGUGGUGGU